AUUAGACGAAUCAUCUGGAAAGAUGAAUCAAAGAAGGUAAUAAUCCUGUAGUCGAAAAUGUUGUCUCUCUUGAGUGGAUCCUGAGUACGACGGAGCACGUGAAAUUCCGUCGGAAUCUGGGAGGACCAUCUCCUAAGGCUAAAUACUCUCUAGUGACCGAUAGUGAACCAGUACCGUGAGGGAAAGGUGAAAAGCACCCCGGAAGGGGAGUGAAAUAGAACCUGAAACCGUGUGCUUACAAGUAGUCAGAGCCCGUUAAUGGGUGAUGGCGUGCCUUUUGUAGAAUGAACCGGCGAGUUACGAUUUGAUGCAAGGUUAAGCAGUAAAUGUGGAGCCGUAGCGAAAGCGAGUCUGAAUAGGGCGUUUAGUAUUUGGUCGUAGACCCGAAACCAGGUGAUCUACCCUUGGUCAGGUUGAAGUUCAGGUAACACUGAAUGGAGGACCGAACCGACUUACGUUGAAAAGUGAGCGGAUGAACUGAGGGUAGCGGAGAAAUUCCAAUCGAACCUGGAGAUAGCUGGUUCUCUCCGAAAUAGCUUUAGGGCUAGCCUCAAGUGAUGAUUAUUGGAGGUAGAGCACUGUUUGGACGAGGGGCCCCUCUCGGGUUACCGAAUUCAGACAAACUCCGAAUGCCAAUUAAUUUAACUUGGGAGUCAGAACAUGGGUGAUAAGGUCCGUGUUCGAAAGGGAAACAGCCCAGACCACCAGCUAAGGUCCCAAAAUAUAUGUUAAGUGGAAAAGGAUGUGGCGUUGCCCAGACAACUAGGAUGUUGGCUUAGAAGCAGCCAUCAUUUAAAGAGUGCGUAAUAGCUCACUAGUCGAGUGACACUGCGCCGAAAAUGUACCGGGGCUAAACAUAUUACCGAAGCUGUGGAUUGUCCUUUGGACAAUGGUAGGAGAGCGUUCUAAGGGCGUUGAAGCAUGAUCGUAAGGACAUGUGGAGCGCUUAGAAGUGAGAAUGCCGGUGUGAGUAGCGAAAGACGGGUGAGAAUCCCGUCCACCGAUUGACUAAGGUUUCCAGAGGAAGGCUCGUCCGCUCUGGGUUAGUCGGGUCCUAAGCUGAGGCCGACAGGCGUAGGCGAUGGAUAACAGGUUGAUAUUCCUGUACCACCUAUAAUCGUUUUAAUCGAUGGGGGGACGCAGUAGGAUAGGCGAAGCGUGCGAUUGGAUUGCACGUCUAAGCAGUAAGGCUGAGUAUUAGGCAAAUCCGGUACUCGUUAAGGCUGAGC
rnacentral:rRNA from 2 species